UUUCACGUUUACCUGUUAUAAUUAUAACGAGGUCUACUGAAAGUUGCUGAGACAAACUACGCAUCGAAUGAAAAUUUUAAGAGUCUGACAAAAUGUAAUACAUUUCAAGGAUACCAAACUCAAAAGGAUAUAGCUAUUAUGCCCGAACACGGAUUAAUGGUUGAACACAGUGCAGAGGAACAAUUCAAGAAGAAUAACUCGGCAAAACAAGAGAAAUCUCCGGUUUUACUGGUGCGAGUAUUUGUGUUGGUGAUGCUAUUUGUGGGAAUCGUCAUCGUUUGGCAAGUCCAUAUUAUGAAUCAACUUCUCCUGGAUAUGAACGAAGAGCUUGCAAAAAUGAAAUCACUGACAAAGAAUGUGAACAUGAACAAAACCUUUUAAAGUAUUAUGAAUUUAGAUUGAUUUCUUUCAGAUAGAUACAUUUGAUAUUUCGAAUUGAAAAUGGAUUUAAUAUUGUACAGAGUUGCUUUUUUUUGUUGAGAUUCAAAAUCUUGAACCUCUCCUUUACUUAGAUAUAUAUGUUUUUAAAUGUUAUUAAUCAUGUUUUUUGUUUCGGAAUCCUCAAAAAUGUGAAGCGCUAGAAAUACCAAGAUACUUGAUUAUUUAUAAAUGUUUCAAUAUUGGUGACAAGUAUUUAUUUCCGUAAAGCGCCGAUAAACUACUUUAUCUUUUAUUCAUAAUUUUAAACCAGAAGUCUUUGAUGAGAUUGUAAUUUUACUGGUUUAUUCUGUCAUAAAUAAAAAUGGAAGCGAAAAGUACUACAAGAGCUCCCGAUACCUUUUUAUAGUUUGACAUUUACAGAAUUGUAUAUGUAUUCUGAUGGAUUUAAAUCUUGUACUAAGAUUUGUUACCAUCAAAAACAAU